rnacentral:lncRNA from 1 species
UUAAAUUAUUUUAAGUACAACUGAUUAAAUUAACACUAGUUAGUUUCUUUGGAUUGGAUUGACUUAACUAUUCAUCAAAUCCGAAAUUCCUCGACUCGGCUUCUACUCGUCCCCACAACAAAUCAAUAAGACAAUGCCGCUUGACAAUAGUAUUUGUCAUUACAUGUCAACGUUGCUUAUUAAAUAAUUGUUCUCGCCAUUAUUAGGCGAUGAGCAAUGCUUUAUUAUUAGCCUCUAAUUUUUUUAUUAAUAUCUAGACCUGUUAUGAUUCUACCACAUAUACAAUAAGCCAAUGUUAUUUUGAAUCCGACGAUAUAAAGUGAUUCAACAUUCCUUUUUUCGAGAAUAUCACACAAAUGAUGAGAGGGUUUGAUCAUCAUGUGAUAAUGCAUAUAAUGCUCAUAGUGGGAUGCUACAGAAUUUAGAUCUUUUUUUCGUACGCCAUCUAAGAUUUAGAAUAUAGUCUUUAUAUAUAUGAAAACUACUUUAGUAUGUAACUAACAUUUAUUUAAAAUUAUUACACAAAAUGAUAAGAUGUGUGUGCAAAUCACCAUGUGAUUAAUUAAUAUCAUAUUCUACUGAGAUGUCAUUAUAUUUUCCAGCUAAGCUUUUGAAUACUUUUUGGAAGCAUCUAAGAUUUGGAUUUACAUAUAUAACGUUCUUGGUAUGUUGACAACCCAAGUGUCCAAAUUACGUUGUUGUUGGGGCACAACCUUCUCAAGUCACGUGUCCUUCUCUCUUUGUCUCUUAUCAUAUUUUAUUUUGUUUUAUUUAUUGUUUGGUUUAGCUAGUAGGUAGUCGGUAUUAUAUAUUAUUUUUUUUAGGGGAGUAAUUUCAUACAUUUUUUUCUCAAAAUUAUAUUAUAAUCUAUUGAUAUUGACCGUAAAAAAUCAAUUGAAACAUCUUAAAUCAGAUUUAAUUCUAAAUGUAUAGGAAAAAUUUGACAUCUAUAAUUUAAAUAAGAAGAUUCGAACUCUUUAUCUUAAAAAAUAAAGUGAAAAGAUACCCACUCACUUCGCGGAACAAUUGAUCGAUAUGGUGCAUAAAAAAUGAUAAUUUCACUUUUAAUAUCUCAGAAUAACUUAAAUCUGCUUCUAAAUACGUAGCAACUCUUGUCUGAAAAAUGAAGUGAAGAGGCAACCAUUGCUAUGCUAUCACAUAUGAAAACAUUGUUAACUUCAUCUUUUAUGUGUGAACUGAAACAGACUGUCUGAGCGGAAAAUGUCAAAAUCUAUGGCGUGAUUCAUAAUGGUCCCAUCCCGGCCCAGCAAGUAAUUGAUUGAUUUUGGGUUCAUUACGAAUUUUCCGUAAACAUUUAAAUUGAAAUGAUAUCUUUGGACCACAUAAUAUUCCUCUUCAUCAACAAUCCAAGUAUUUUAAGGGGUAUUGAUCAAACCAAAGAGUAAUUUUCUAAUAAGUUAU